GGAAACUCUCAUGUUGAGGUAUUUUUUGUAGCACAGGUUAAGAAAAAGAGAAACGUUCUCACAGUUGUUUCUCACAGUGCUGCUUUCUGGCUUUACAGCUGCUGCCCUGUUUUUGAGGCACCAAUAACACUCUGCACACCUCACCGCAGCUGACCUUGAGAUGAUAAACACUUUCACCACUUUUCUCCAACUAAUUUUUACUGCGACAUUUGAACUCACCAAUCACCAUCACGGCCAGCCUUUACUGUGAUGAGGACCACCGCCGCUCUGCUCUCUCUGUAUUUUUGGGUAAACACUGG